rnacentral:lncRNA from 1 species
AUGGAAGACGAAAGGCAAUCAUUUCUAUCAAAACACAGAGCAAUCUCAGGCUACAUAGCCCACGAAGGACUUGAAUUGAAGAACUUCGAUGCAUGCCUCAAAUGGGUUUUCGUGGAUCAGUCCAAUGUAUGGAGGACUGGUAUUUCAUGGUCCAUCUUCUUCGUUUUAGCCAUUGGCGUGCCGCUUGUCUCACACUUUCUCCUCUCCUGCUCCGACUGCGAUGAAAAUCACAGCAGGCCUUACCAUAUAGUUUCUCAGUUAUCACUUUCUUUAUUCUCAGUGCUCGCAUUCAUCAGCCUCUCCUGCUGGACCCGCAAAUAUGGUUUGAGGAGGUUUCUCUUCCUUGACAAAUUAUAUGACGCAAGUGAGAAGGUUCGCCAUGGAUAUAAACAACAGUUUCAGGUAUAUAUAAUUAGUUGAUUUAAACAAAACCUUAGACAAAAUCUUGAAACUUUGAGUUUCUAAUCUCUAUGAUUUUACGUAUUGCUGCAGAAUUCAAUGAAGCUCCUCUGCAUGAUCGUGUUCCCCUGUUUUGCAGCAGAGUGUCUCUACAAGAUAUGGUGGUAUGUCUCGGGAGCAACCGAAUUACCGUAUUAUGGGAACAUCUAUUUAAGCAACACGAUUUUGUGUACGUUGGAGCUGUGUUCAUGGCUUUAUCGAACCACAAUUUUCUUCCUGGUGUGCGUUCUGUUCCGGCUAAUUUGCCAUCUUCAAAUACUGAGACUAGAAAAUUUUGCCCAAGUUUUUCAAAAGGAGACCGAGGUUGAGUUAAUCUUGAUGGAGCACCUCAAGAUCAGAAGGAACCUUCGGCUGAUGAGCCAUAGGUUUCGAUUAUUCAUCUUGCUCUCUCUAAUUAUGGUCACAGCAAGUCAGCUCAUUUCUCUGGUCAUGGUUACUAGGUCUAGUGCUCAUGUUAAUAUCUUCAAGGCUGGAGAGCUUGCGGUAAUUUUCAAUCCUUCUUUCACUUACAUAUAUGACGAUAUCUGAUUCAAAUUAUAUAUAUAUAUAUUGUCAUUUUUGUUUUCUGGUCGUGUUGCAGUUAUGUUCCAUUAGCCUAGUUAUUAGUCUUUUCAUUUGCCUGCGAAGUGCAACAAAAAUAACACACAAAGCACAGUCGAUAACGGGGCUUGCUGCAAAGUGGCAUGUCUGCGCCACAAUACAGUCUUUUGAUUACACGGAAAGUGAGACUCCAAUGGCUCCGAUUUCUUCAGCUCAAGUGUUUCCUUUUGGUGCUGAUAUUGAAUCAGAAGAUGACGAAGCUGCAGAAGAUGACGAUUUGGACAACACCAGGCUGGUGCCAAUUUACACUCAAACAAUCUCAUUCCAGAAAAGACAAGCUCUAGGUUGUAGUAGGAACAGAUCAUCAUCUUCAGUGACAGUGUUGAAUUUAUUUAUUUAUGUUUUUGCCCCCUUUUUUUCUUUUUUCUUUUUUGUAAUGAUAGCGUGUGGUCGCUUUUGCAGUGAAAUAUCUGGAGAAUAAUAGAGCAGGGAUCACAGUGUUUGGGUUCACGGUGGAUAGAAUGUGGCUUCACUCUAUUUUUGCAAUUCAACUGGCCCUUCUGCUCUGGCUGCUCAACAAGACAAUUGG